GCGGCACUUUGAAUUCACAAUCAGUUGUGUGGUCGUAAAUGUUCAGAAAAAUAAUCAAUAGCAAGUUAAAUACAUCAUGCCUGCUAAUUGAAAUGUUUAUAAAAUAUGUAUUAAAAAGGGAAAACUCCAAGUCACAUGCCCAUCACCAACGUCAACACACGCACAGCGUUUACCACUCGCUCAAACUUGUGACUCUAUUCUUCAUCAUUUUAAAAAGUUUUGAGAGGAAAUAUGAAGAAGAAAUCUGGACUACCUUUUUCCUGAGUGUAGAAGAUCAAAGGCUUCGUUGAUCUGAUCGAACGGAAGAUUUUGUGUGACAAACUCAUCCAGAAGCAGUUUCUUUGAUUGAUAAUCCUUGACCAGCUUGGGCACACUGUCUCGCGAUUUCCAACCGCCAAAUGCAGUUCCUUUCCAAACGCGACCAGUUACUAGUUGGAAUGGACGAGUACUAAUCUCUUGCCCAGCCCCAGCUACUCCGACAAUGACAGACGUGCCCCAACCUUUG
rnacentral:lncRNA from 1 species